UUUGAUUUUCAGUGUUUAUUCAUCUUAUGAUUAACUAGUACUUUUUUUUUUUCAUAAUUUAAGAUCUGCGCAAAUGGCUCGCAAAUAUAGAAAGAAGAUUGGUGGUCGGUCUUAUAAAAAUUACUCAGAUGACAUUUUAGAGGAAGCACUAAAUAAAAUUGCCAAUGGUGAGAUUUCAAUAUUAGCUGCCAGCAAGGCAUAUAAAAUUUCCUAUGGAACAUUGCACAAUAAAUUCAAUGGCAAACAUGUUAAGAAGUGUGGUCAUCCAACGAUUUUAUUUAUAUUUAUUAUAUAUAUAUUAUAUUUUAUUGUUAUUGUUA